rnacentral:rRNA from 1 species
AUCGAACGCUGGCGGCAGGCCUAACACAUGCAAGUCGAACGAGUAGCGGACGGGUGAGUAAUGUCGGGGAAACUGCCUGAUGGAGGGGGAUAACUACUGGAAACGGUAGCUAAUACCGCAUACCAUCAGAUGUGCCCAGAUGGGAUUAGCUAGUUGGUGGGGUAACGGCUCACCAAGGCGACGCUCCCUAGCUGGUCUGAGAGGAUGACCAGCCACACUGGAACUGAGACACGGUCCAGACUCCUACGGGAGGCAGCAGUGGGGAAUAUUGUACAAUGGGCGAAAGCCUGAUGCAGCCAGGCCGCGUGUAUGAAGAAGGCCUUCGGGUUGUAAAGUACUGUCAGCGGGGAGGCGGUACCCGCCGAAGAAGCACCGGCUAACUCCGUGCCAGCAGCCGCGGUAAUUC